rnacentral:rRNA from 1 species
AUGAGCCAAGCUCGGAAUCAAGCUCUUAUUCUCUUCGGCAUACCAUCCACGAACCAUGGCCAAAUAGAGGUCACGAACCGGACACUAUCCACUCUCCUACGUGUGUUUAUCAAGAAGAACAUUAAGGAGUGGGAGGAGUGCUUACCCAUCACCGAGUACGCCUACAACCACGCCAGACAUUCGACUACCGGCAAGUCCCCCUUCGAGGUCUUCUACAACUUCAACCCAUUGUACGCACUCGACAUUCUACUGCUCCCUCUACAAGAGCGCAUCAACAUGGACACAAGUGCAUGUGUGAGCUAUCUCAAGAAGGUGCACGAAGAUACAUGGCACACCAUCAAGCGUCAAGUACACCGCCAUGCGGCCAAGCUCAACAUCAACAAGCAACCCAUGCUAUUCAACAUCGGAGAUCUUGUGUGGCUACACCUUCGCAAGGACAGCUUCCCCAACGAACGCAAGUCCAAGAUUAACCCUCGAGCCGACAGACUAUUCAAGGUGCUCGCACGCUACAACAACACCUAUAAGAUCGACCUACCUCAAGAAAAGUACAACAUGAGCGGUAUCUUCAACGUCAAGGAUCUCUCUCCCUACCAUGGUGAUGAGGUUUUUGAUCCGAGGUCGGAUCUUUCCCAAGGGGAGGGGGAGAUCAUGUGGAGCAUCUUAUGGUCAUCCCCAUGGACCUACCAGCGUCUCACCAAGUUCCUAGUGGACCGAUGA